GUAAAAGUUUGUUAUAAAUGUAUCUUGGAUUAACUUCUCACUUAAGAAUUUUUUUAUUCCCAGCAAGUUUAUACAUACUUCAUGUUUUUCAAGUUGUUUUGAUACAUUAUAUAUACUUCUAAUUGGUGUAAUUUAACUAGUCCUAAUUGUACUUGAAGCAAUCUUGGAAAGGAGGACCUAUUUGCAGCUUUUGUUCUUCUUUUAGGCCUUUGAGGAAUAAGAAACUGAAAUAAUUAUAUUUUAGUAAUGUUGCUAAGUAAUUUUCCAUUUUAUUUCUCCAUAUGAAGUUGUGGCUUCUAGACACACACUUGAGUUUUAGGUUGAAGUAAAAUAUUUGGCACAAUGCUCAAUUUGCGCCUUGUACUUAUUGGGCAUUUCCAAUUUAGUCCAUUUUCUACUUUUAAGCCCUAUUUGCCUAGAACUUUCAAUUUAAGUUCAAUCUAGUCAAGCAGUCAUCAAGUAAAAUGAGCCAAGCAUAAUGUUCAAUUUGCCCUUGUAUUUAUUGGGCAUGUCCAAUUUGGUUCUUUUUUCAUGUAAUUAAAUUAAUUAAUUA
rnacentral:misc_RNA from 1 species